CGCUAACACUCCUACGGGAGGCAGCAGUGGGGAAUAUUGCACAAUGGGCGCAAGCCUGAUGCAGCCAUGCCGCGUGUGUGAAGAAGGCCUUCGGGUUGUAAAGCACUUUCAGUCGUGAGGAAGGUAGUGUAGUUAAUAGCUGCAUUAUUUGACGUUAGCGACAGAAGAAGCACCGGCUAACUCCGUGCCAGCAGCCGCGGUAAUACGGAGGGUGCGAGCGUUAAUCGGAAUUACUGGGCGUAAAGCGCAUGCAGGUGGUUUGUUAAGUCAGAUGUGAAAGCCCGGGGCUCAACCUCGGAAUUGCAUUUGAAACUGGCAGACUAGAGUACUGUAGAGGGGGUAGAAUUUCAGGUGUAGCGGUGAAAUGCGUAGAGAUCUGAAGGAAUACCGGUGGCGAAGGCGGCCCCCUGGACAGAUACUGACACUCAGAUGCGAAAGCGUGGGGAGCAAACAGGAUUAGAUACCCCUGGUAG
rnacentral:rRNA from 1 species